rnacentral:lncRNA from 1 species
AUGGAGCAAACGUUAAAUUCUGAUAAAAAAAUAAAAUAUAAUAUGAGUAAAAUAUAUUUUAAUAAGUCGCAUAAGAACAAUGAAAGUUUUAAAGGUGAACAAAUCGAAAUAUUGUUAGAUAAUAAAAAGAUAACUCCAAAACCAAUAUAUUUAAAUUUUAUUGAUACUGAAACAAAAAAGUCAUUAGAUAAAAUUGAUUAUUUAUUACAACAUUUUGAUAAUAAAAAUAAAAUAGCUAACCAAAAAAAAGAAUCACUACUACUUAAUGAAAAUGAUAAAAGUGGUAUUGUAGAACCAAAUGUAAAUGAAAAAAAAGAUGAAAUGAUAGUACUUCAAAAUCAAAAAAAUAAUGAUGUUAUUCUAAAUAAAAAAUUACAACAAGUUUAUAAACAAAAACACAAAUUGAACGAUAUAAAUUUAACAGCUUGCUCAAAGCAUUUUCAAUAUGAAGAAAAUAUACUAAAACUUUAUGAUAAAAUUUUACUAAGUGAAACAGAAACAAUAAUUGUGUUCAACAUACCCAAUUUAUUAAAUGACGUAGAAAAAGAAAAAGAAAUUAUUGAAAAAGCAAACGAACGAUAUGAAAAGUUGUUAAAAAAUGAUGAAAGUAAUUAUGUUAAUAAGUCAAUGCAAACUUUAAAUAUUUUUAAAAAAAAUAAAGAUGUAUAUGUGUCUACUAUUAACAAACAAGAUAAAAGUUCUCAAACGAAUUUAUAUAAAUUGCAUAAAUUAAUUCUAAGGAACGCUUUAAACAAGUUAAAUUAUGUGCAUAAUUGCAUGGAUAAAUAUGUAUAUAUAUAUAUAUUAUAGUGCUACAGAGUAAUAGGCAAAAUCGUUACGAUCUGAUACGAAACAGUACGAUCUAAUACGAAACAGUACGAUCUGAUACGAAACAGUACGAUGUGAUACGAAACAGUACGAUGUGAUACGAAACAGUANNNNNNNNNNAACAGUACGAUGUGAUACGAAACAGUACGAUGUGAUACGAAACAGUAUGAUGUGAUACGAAACAGUAUGAUGUGAUACGAAACAGUACGAUAGGAUAUUGAUGUAGACUAAGCUAUUAAACAAUUUAAUUGAUGUUACAACUUUUUGUAUUUAUAUAUUUAAAUAUAAUUAUAUUUAGUAUGUAUCGUAGUUACAGAACAAAGUUCAAAAAAAAUGCUUAUAUAUUUAUAUAUAUGCAAAGAUUAUAGUAUAUAUAUAUAUAUAUAUAUUUUUUUUGAGCUACUUACUGUUAUGCAUAUAUAUAAAUAUAUACAUAUAUACACGUCAACACGCACCUACGCGUAUAUCUUCCCCCCUGCAAUCUUAUAUUUAUACAGAUCCGAAGUGUUACACAAGGAGUUUUUAAAAUAUAGAAAUAAAAAAUUUAAAAGCAUUAUAGAAGAAUAUAAA